rnacentral:rRNA from 1 species
UAGGGAAUUUUCGUUCAAUGGGCGCAAGCCUGAACGAGCAAUGCCGCGUGAACGAGGAAGGUCUUCGGAUCGUAAAGUUCUGUUGAAGGGGAAAAAGAGCGGAGAGAGGAAAUGGUCUCCGAUUUGAUAUUACCCUUCGAGGAAGUCACGGCUAACUACGUGCC